GGCUGAAGUAUUCCAGUCCUCCUCCCAUUCUACAGCCAGGCUUUGAGAUAGAGGGUGAGUGUCAUAUUAUGGGUUAGCAGCCCAGUGUAAGCCUGGUGAGGAGGAGGACAUCCUAACACGGCACCUCACUUUCCACAGUUCAUUUCUGUACACCGCUAAAUUAUCAAAGUCACACACCUCAUUCUCCACACUCCUGUACACCAAAAUCAGGCUAGGUCAUAAUGUCUGCACAACAGCUAAAUGGGAUCUUCGGGAUUGCAUAAUUCAAUGCAAAAAUAAACCAAUCAGCGCAUAUUAUGCGAGAGCUCGCAAUUUUGACCAAUUCCCGCACUUUUAGCGCAUAAAAGGGUCCAAUCAAAAGCGUGUUCGUAAUUUUGGAUUGGGCCGUUUGGAAAAUGGUUUUCCUCCUGGCCUGUCAGCGUAUUCACGUGUGAAGAUGAUGGGUGAUUGUUGAUGGCUGACAGGCAAUACAACGAACAGAAAUCAAUCUCAUUUGCCAACAAAAAUAAUAGCUAACGACAGUGCGAAACAAUUUCUAAAUGUUUCUGAAAACUAGAGAAAGUCGACAAUCAACAGUCACUUCGAAUCAGCAAAGAAUAUGAGAAUGUCAGAACAGUUCCCACAGUAGUGGCAGAUCACCAUGACUACAGUGGUAGCAGGGAAGACUGUGGCAAACGCUGAAAGAAUCACGUAGCCAAUACUGGGACCAUGACACCAAACGGUCAGUAUGGGGCUAUGGCCUAUUGGACCACUGGAAAACUGGGCCCAACUUAUACCAGUCUGUGUAAGUAGAUAACACACACACACACACACCAACAGAUCCCGAAGGCACGGUUAGGCUGAUAAAAGACAAUUACAGUGCAGUUUAAAUGGAGCAAAUCCCUCCUGUUUCUCUCUGGCUCUGACCACACACAGCUGUUUGAACCACCAACAACCUGUAGCGCUCUAUAGACUAGGUCUAAUGUAGGGGAAAUGGACCGUGAGAGUCGACCACACACCAUCAAGUGGGCAAGGGUAAAGAUUUAUGAGGGCCAGUCAAGGGCAGAGUAGGGCUGGAAAUUGCCAGGGACCUCACGAUACGAUAUUAUCACAAAAUGUAGGUGCUGAUACGAUAUGUAUUGCAAUUCGAUGUUCCAAACAUAUUGCUCACCAUAUGUCUGCUCCAGACGCACAGAGAGAGCCAUGAAAAAACGAGUUUUGAUCAAUCAUGGAAAUAAAAGUGCUAAAAAUCAAAUUGGCUCCAUCUAUAAAAGAAGUCUGAGAACAAGCUAUGAAGAAUGACACUGGAGUUUUGGUGCAGGUACUACCAACCUGCGCAAAAUAUUGCGAUAUUGUCAAAACUAUUUUCGCAUACACAAAAUAUCUAUUAUUUAGAACGCAAGUACAGGUGUUCGGACAGAGCGAGGGACAGAGCGAGGGACAGUCUCUCCUCUUGUCAAGCAGCCUCCAACCCCUGAGCUGCACCGCUUCAUUAUGAGUACAAUGAGAGGUCCCACUAACCCCACACACAAUAUCCUCAUUUACACACAGACAACGCACACACACACACACACAAUGGCCACUCCAGAGACAGAGAUCUCACCAGCCACACACACACCAGACCAGAGAUGGGGGAGAAGAGAAGGAACCGGAGAGGGGUUGAGGGAGAAGGAAACUAAAUAUGAAGCGUCCCCAUAUAAACACAGCAACACCAGAUCACUGUGUGUGUGUGUGUGUGUGUGUGUGUGUGUGUGUGUGUGUGUGUGUGUGUGUGUGUGUGUGUGUGUGUGAUUCACACCCAGACCCCAGCCUUCCUCCUGCCUGCCCUGUCACUGUGGAGAAAGUGACUGACUACUACUAACCCAUUGCAUCCCUGGGUC
rnacentral:lncRNA from 1 species